rnacentral:rRNA from 1 species
CGCCUGUUUAUCAAAAACAUGUCUUUUUGUUAAUUAUUAAAGGUUUGGCCUGCUCCAUGAAUGUAAUUAAAUAGCCGCAGUAUUUUGACUGUGCAAAGGUAGCAUAAUCAUUAGUUUUUUAAUUGAAAGCUGGAAUGAAGGGUCGGAUGAGAAAGUUUCUGUCUCAAUGAUAUUUUCUUUGAAUUUUAUUUUUAAGUUAAAAAGCUUAGAUUUUAUAAAAAGACGAGAAGACCCUAUAGAGUUUAAUAGGUUAAUGAUGUAUUUAUUUGUAGGUAUUAAUUUAAUUACUUUAUGGCUUAUUUGGUUGGGGUGACUUAAGAAUUGACUAAACUUCUGGGUUUAUUAACAUUGAUUAAUGAAUAAUUGAUCCUAAAUUUUGGAUUAUAAGAAUAAAUUACCUUAGGGAUAACAGCGUAAUUUUUUUAGAGAGUUCUUAUCGAUAAAAGGGAUUGCGACCUCGAUGUUGGAUUAAAGUUAAAUUCUGGUGCAAAAGCUAGGGAUUUG